rnacentral:lncRNA from 10 species
AAGAGCUUGCAGCUGACAUGUGGAUUAAGCGCCAACCCAAACAUUUUGACAUCUGAGCAGGGGUAGAAGGCCUCUUUAAAAAAAAAAAAAAAUUAAGGAACCUAACCAGAGAACAUGCAUGGAUAUGAAGCCGCAUGCACCAAGAUAAUGGGUUGAGAAUCUAGGCGUGGUCAAGAUUUUCUCAGUAAAAAUUUCUGGAUCUGGGCCAACGCCUCCUCAGAACUGGACCCAGCUGGCUGGCUGGAAAAGGGAUGG